rnacentral:misc_RNA from 1 species
GAUCAUGGAUUUGUCACACAUGCGUUGAAACUUCUCUUUAAGCUCCGUCUUGUGCUCACUAUUAGUGAUGCGAAAGUAGUAAUCAGGGUACGUGCUUUGAUCAACACAAUUGGGCGGAGUUGCUGUUCCGAUGGCCAAGACAGUGGCGGGACCUGCGGCCCGUUGAGCCUUGCGUACUUCCUCUACGGUCACCAUUUUUUUUCCUUGAGGAAGUUAAAGAAACGAUUAGAAGGUGAUCAAGAACUGCAGGUGGAUGAAUAAGCUCUCAAGAGUUGUGAAUGAGUCUUGU